rnacentral:rRNA from 1 species
AGCGAACGCUGGCGGCAGGCUUAACACAUGCAAGUCGAGCGGGCACUUCGGUGUCAGCGGCAGACGGGUGGGUAACACGUGGGAACGUACCCUUUGGUUCGGAAUAACGCUGGGAAACUAGCGCUAAUACCGGAUACGCCCUUUUGGGGAAAGGCUUGCUGCCGAAGGAUCGGCCCGCGUCUGAUUAGCUAGUUGGUGGGGUAAUGGCCUACCAAGGCGACGAUCAGUAGCUGGUCUGAGAGGAUGCUAAGCCACACUGGGACUGAGACACGGCCCAGACUCCUACGGGAGGCAGCAGUGGGGAAUAUUGGACAAUGGGCGCAAGCCUGAUCCAGCCAUGCCGCGUGAGUGAUGAAGGCCUUAGGGUUGUAAAGCUCUUUUGUCCGGGACGAUAAUGACGGUACCGGAAGAAUAAGCCCCGGCUAACUUCGUG